rnacentral:rRNA from 1 species
ACGGGAGGCAGCAGUGGGGAAUAUUGCACAAUGGGGGAAACCCUGAUGCAGCGACGCCGCGUGAGUGAAGAAGUUAUUCGUAAUGUAAAGCUCUAUCAGCAGGGAAGAAAAUGACGGUACCUGACUAAGAAGCCCCGGCUAACUACGUGCCAGCAGCCGCGGUAAUACGAGGGGUGCAAGCGUUGUUCGGAAUCACUGGGCGUAAAGGGAGCGCAGGCGGAGAUGCAAGCAGUCUGUACAAUACCGGGGCCCAACCCCGGACCUGCAGACUGGACUGUUUCUCUUGGAUAGUUCAGGGGCAAGCGGAAUUCCUGGUGUAGCGGUGGAAUGCGUAGAGAUCAGGAAGAACACCGAUGGCGAAGGCAGCUUGCUGGGGACUUAUCGACGCUCAUGCUCGAAAGUGCGGGUAGCAAACAGGAUUAGAUACCCUGGUA